GGACCACAUGUAUGGCUGUAAUUGCAAACAUCUGCCCACCCACCCACGGAACACUUUAGUCUCAGGAUGAAGUUUAUGAAAAGCCACCUCAAGGAAGGACUAGGAUCCAUGAGAGGCCGCGG
rnacentral:lncRNA from 1 species